rnacentral:piRNA from 1 species
GUCUUUCUUUGGGAUUGUGGUGUCACUU